rnacentral:lncRNA from 1 species
GCUCGCUAUUGGCUGCGCUGAGGGAGUAGCAGAGAGCGUUUACAGUACAGCCUUUGAAGAAGGCAGAGUGAAGUAUGACAGAUGAGGCUGAUCGGCACGCGAUGUUCACCGUUUGCAUAGAUGAAAACACCUCUCGAUAUACAAGAGUUAUUUCAUCAUUAGAUGGGGAAGGAUAUUCCUGUGGACUGCUUUUAUUUCCAACUGUGCUCGUUGAAUAAUUUGACACCCUGCUUGGAUCUAUACUAAACCCAUGGACGUCUACUCCUAAGUCAAGCCUGACAAGAAUUUAGAUCCAGCGCACAGCUAGCACAUAAUAAAUGAACCCUUCUGCCUGCAUGUGAAUGUGCCAAAACCUAUCCCCUGGGCCCGGUUUUUCAAAAGGUUUAAUCCGGAUAAAAUUCCGAUUA